rnacentral:lncRNA from 1 species
ACCUAACCAGCUCUGGUCUCGCACUUCUUUGGAGAAACCCUGACCACACUUUCUUUGGAGAAACCUAACCUGCUCUGGUCUCACACCUCUUUGGGGAAACCCUAACCUCCUCUAGUCUCACACUCUCUUCGGAGAAGCUGGAGCUUCUUUCUCCAGGUACCUUCCUAUUUGAUCAAUUUUUACAUCUGAUUCUGAACAUUUCAACUUGCCUUAUAGCUAAUGUAUCAUGUUGUGAAGUAUUUAUUUAGCUAGUAUAUUUAUUGAUUUUCAGAUUUGGGCUCCUAAACCCUAGUUCCCUUUUUCUUCUUUUCGGCAGCACAAUUUUACUUAUGCGGAGGUUAAUGUUUUCUGUAACAUGCUUUAUUAUUGUUGUGGCCUUUAACCAACUUUGGAGCAUUAAGUGGGCCUUGCUGCAAGCCUUUAAGAAUUUGGCAAUGACCAUUAUUUUUACAGAUUUAAGUGAGUUUGGAUUGUCACCGGUUGAUCAAUUAUGCUGACAAGGGGUGAAUUCCAUUAUUAGCCCAUUUUUGUUUGCUAUCCUAUUUGUCCUGAAACUAUUUUGAUCAACCAUGAAUUUGGCAAUGACCAUUAUUUUUACAGAUUUAAGCGAGUUUGGAUUGUCCCUGGUUGAUCGAUUAUGCUCACAACAAGGGGUGAAUUCCAUUGUUAGCCCACUUUUGUUUGCUAUGCUAUCAUUGCUAUGUGUCUGUGAAGAAACUAUUUUGAUCAACUUUGAGAUUUGUUGAAAAUUUUGUAUUUCUUGUAGUGCAGUUUGCCACAUUUAUAGUCAAUCAUGCUCUCUCUCUCUCUCUCUCUCUCUCUCUCUCUCUCUCUCUCUCACACUCUCACACAUACACACAGACCAAAUUUGAUUCACUUGCCAAAUCUUAUAAUGUUGGGAGAUUUGGAAUUUGGUUUUUAGCAUCAUCCUUCCACCAAUUCAAUGCUCUAUGAGAAGUCAUGUUAAAUGAGCCUUGGAGAAAGCCUUCAUGAACUUAAGUUUAUAGGUUUUUUUGGCUAUUCAUUUUAGCAGAUUACUUCAUUUGUAUUUUUGAAUUGUUCAAGUUUUCUCUAAUCAUUCUUGUUUCAUGGUUGCUGAUGUUGUUGAACACUUCAUUCUCAAAAUUGAUAAGUAUAUAGAUUAACACAACAUAUGCUUACAUUCAAUUCCAAGAAAGGACUUUGGUUGAUGUAUUUUUUCUUGGUGAAGAAUAAAGUAGAUACUGUGGAACUUGCUUGGACUCUUGGAUAGAAAUUUACAGCACCUAGUAUCAGCUGACUUGUUAUCAUGUUGCAUCCUGUCCUUGAUCAAAACACAUUUGUAUGUGCUAUGCAGCUGGCUAACUGGUCUCGCACCACUUUGGAGAAACCCUGACCACACUUUCUUUGGAGAAACCUAACCUGCUUUGGUCUCACACCUCUUUGGGGAAACCCUAACCUCCUCAGGUCUCACACUCUCUUUGGAGAAACUGGAGCUUCUUUCUCUAGGUACGUUCCUAUUUGAUCAAUUUUUACAUUUGAUUCUAAACAUUUCAACUUGCCUUCUAGCUAAUGUUUCAUGUUGUGAAGUAUUUAUUUAGCUAGUAUAUUUAUUGAUUUUCAGAUUUGGGCUCCUAAACCCUAGUUCCCUUCUUCUUUUGGUUGUUUCUUUCUUUUGGUUCAGUUUUUUGCAUUUCUGAGUUUUUUUUUUCUCACUAGUCUCACAAAAUGCCCGGAUUUAAAUAAAGUAUGUUCUUUUACUUUCUCUGUCAUUGCAUUUUGAGCAAAGCAUACAUAUUUGGGAGUAUUUUUGUGUGAAUUUGUUGGUAUUUUUGCUGACCUCCCUACCUGUGUUCCUUGUGUAAACGUUUUCUUUGGUAACUGUUAGUUGUUAAAAUAUUUAUUUAGCUAGUUGAUUUAUUGGUUUACAUUGCUCAUUUGUCUUUCUCCACUUUUUUCUAUCACAAUUUUAUACGGUUUAUUUAGCUAGUCAGUUUAUAAUAUUGCUCAUGUAUUAUGACUUAUCUCAUUUAUAAUUAGCUAUUUGAUUUAGUUUUGUGGUUUUUUUCAUGUGGUUUUGUAUUUAUUUAGCUAAUGUAGUUACCUUCUUCUUUUGGAUGUUUCUUUCUUUUGGUUUAAGCUCUAGUUCAAUUUUUUGCUUUUCUGAGAUUUUUUUUUCUCACUAGUCUCACAAAAUGCACGGAUUUAAAUAUACUUUCGUUUUCUUUGGUAACUGUUACUUGAUAAAGUAUUUAUUUAGCUAAUUGAUUUAUUGGUUUACAUUGCUCAUUUGUCUUUCUCCACUUUUUUCUAUCACAAUUUUAUAUGGUUUAUUUAGUUAGUCAGUUUAUAAUAUUGAUCAUGUAGUGUGACUUAUCUCAUUUAUAAUUAGCUAUUUGAUUUAGUUUUGUUGUUUUUUUCAUGUGGUUUUGUAUUUAUUUAGCUAAUGUUUCACUGAUAGUAGUUCCCUUCUUCUUUUGGUUGCUUCUUUCUUUUGGUUUAAGCUCUAGUUCAAUGCUUUUCUGAGUUUUUUUUCUCACUAGUCUCACAAAAUGCACGGAUUUAAAUAAACUAUGUUCUUUUACUUUCUCUGUCAUUACUUUUGAGUAAGGGAUACAUUUCUGGGAGUAUUUUUGUGUGAAUUUGUUGGUAUUUAUUGCUGGCCUGGCCUCCCAACUUGUGUUGCUUGUGUAAACGUUUUCUUUGAUAACUGAUACUUGUUAAAGUGUUUACUUAGCUAGUUGAUUUAUUGGUUUACAUUGCUCAUUUGUCUUUCUCCGCUUUUUUCUAUCACAAUUUUAUACAGGUCAUUUAGCUAGUCAGUUUAUAAUAUUGCUCAUGUAUUAUGACUCAUCUCAUUUAUAAUUAGCUAUUUGAUUUAGUUUUGUGGUUUUUUUCAUGUGGUUUUUUAUUUAUUUAGCUAAUGUUUUGCUGACACUAGUUCAAUUUUUUGUAUUUCUGAGUUUUUUUUCUCACUAGUCUUGCAAAAUGCACGGAUUUAAAUGGACUAUAUUCUUUUACUUUCUCUGUCAUUACUUUCGAGCAAAGCAUACAUAUCUGGGAGUAUAUUUUGUGUGAAUUUGUUGGUAUUUAUUGCUGGCCUCCCUACUUGUGUUGCUUGCAUAAACGUUUUCUUUGAUAACUGUUACUUGUUAAAGUAUUUAUUUAGCUAGUUGAUUUAUUGGUUUACAUUGCUCAUUUGUCUUUUUCCACUUUUUUCUAUCACAAAUUUAUACGGUUUAUUUAGCUAGUCAGUUUAUAUUGCUCAUGUAUUAUGACUUAUCGUAUUUAUAAUUAGCUAUUUGAUUUAGUUUUGUGGUUUUGUAUUUAUUUAGCUAAUGUUUCACUGACCGUACUACCCUUCUCCUCCUUUUGGUUGUUUCUUUCUUUUGGUUUAAGCUCUAGUUCAAUUUUUUGCAUUUCUGAGUUUUUUUUCUCACUAGUCUCACAAAAUGCACGGAUUAAAAUAAACUAUGUUCUUUUACUUUCUCUGUCAUUACUUUUGAGCAAGGGAUACAUAUUUGGGAGUAUUUUUGUGUGAAUUUGUUGGUAUUUAUUGCUGGCCUGGCCUCCAUACUUGUGUGGCUUGCGUAAACGUUUUCUUUGAUAACUGUUACUUGUUAAAGUGUUUACUUAGCUAGUUGAUUUAUUGGUUUACAUUGCUCAUUUGUCUUUCUCCGCUUUUUUCUAUCACAAUUUUAUACAGGUUAUUUAGCUAGUCAGUUUAUAAUAUUGCUCAUGUAUUAUGACUCAUCUCAUUUAUAAUUAGCUAUUUGAUUUAGUUUUGUGGUUUUUUUCAUGUGGUUUUGUAUUUAUUUAGCUAAUGUUUCACUGACACUAGUUCAAUUUUUUGCAUUUCUGAGUUUUUUUCUCACUAGUCUCACAAAAUGCACGGAUUUAAUAUAAACUAUGUUCUUUUACUUUCUCUGUCAUUACUUUCAAGCAAAGCAUACAUAUCUGGGAGUAGUGUGAAUUUGUUGGUAUUUAUUGCUGGCCUCCCUACUUGUGUUGCUUGCGUAAACGUUUUCUUUGAUAACUGUUACUUGUUAAAGUAUUUAUUUAGCUAGUUGAUAUAUUGGUUUACAUUGCUCAUUUGUCUUUCUCCAUUUGUUUCUAUCACAAAUUUAUACGGUUUAUUUAGCUAGUCUGUUUAUAUUGCUCAUGUAUUAUGACUUAUCUCAUUUAUAAUUAGCUAUUUGAUUUAGUUUUGUGGUUUUGUAUUUAUCUAGCUAAUGUUUCACUGGCCGUAGUUCCCUCCUCCUCCUUUUGGUUGUUCCUUUCUUUUGGUUUAAGCUCUAGUUCAAUUUUUUGCAUUUCUGAGUUUUUUUUUCUCACUAGUCUCACAAAAUGCACGGAUUUAAAUAAACUAUGUUCUUUUACUUUCUCUGUGAUUACUUUCGAGCAAAGCAUACAAAUUUGGGAGUAUAUUUUGUGUGAAUUUGUUGAUAUUUAUUGCUGGCCUCCCUACUUGUGUUGCUUGCGUAAACGUUUUCUUUGAUAACUGUUACUUGUUAAAGUAUUUAUUUAGCUAGUUGAUUUAUUGGUUUACAUUGCUCAUUUCCCAAUUUUUUAUGGUUUAUUUAGCUAGUCAGUUUAUAAUAUUAAUCAUGUAGUGUGACUUAUCUCAUUUAUAAUUAGCUAUUUGCUUUAGUUUUGUUAUUUUUUUCGUGUGGUUUUGUAUUUAUUUAGCUAAUGUUUCACUGAUAGUAGUUCCCUUCUUCUUUUGGUUGUUUCCUUCUUUCGGUUUAAGCUCUAGUUCAAUUUUUUGCUUUUCUGAGUUUUUUUUCUCACUGGUCUCACAAAAUGCACGGAUUUAAAUAAACUAAGUUCUUUUACUGUCUCUGUCAUUACUUUUGAGCAAAGCAUACAUAUCUGGGAGUAUAUUUUGUGUGAAUUUGUUGGUAUUUAUUGCUGGCCUCCCUACUUGUGUUGCUUGCGUAAACGUUUUCUUUGAUAACUGUUACUUGUUAAAGUAUUUAUUUAGCUAGUUGAUUUAUUGGUUUACAUUGCUCGUUUGUGUUCCUCCACUUUUUUCUAUCACAUUUUUAUACGGUUUGUUUUGCUAGUCAGUUUAUAUUGCUCAUGUAUUAUGACUUAUCUCAUUUAUAAUUAGCUAUUUGAUUUAGUUUUGUGGUUUUUUUCAUGUGGUUUUGUAUUUAUUUAGCUAAUGUUUCACUGACAGUUCCCUUCUAGCUCAAUAUUUUGCAUUUCUGAGUUUUUUUUCUCACUAGUCUCACAACGUGCACGGAUUUAAAUUAACUAUGUUCUUUUACUUUCUCUGUCAUUACUUUGGAGCAAAGCAUAUAUAUUUGGGAGUAUUUUUGUGUGAAUUUAUUGGUAUUUAUUGCUGGCCUCCCUACCUUUGUUCCUUGUGUAAACAUUUUCUUUGAUACUGUUACUUGUUAAAGUAUUUAUUUAGCUAGUUGAUUUAUUGGUUUACACUGCUCAUUUGUCUUUCUCCAGUUUUUUCUAUAACAAAUUUAUAUGGUUUAUUGGGUGAGUCAGUAUAUAUUGCUCAUGUAUUAUGAAUUAUCUCAUUUAUAAUUAACUAUUUGAUUUAGUUUUGUGUUUUUUCUGAUGUGGUUUUGUACAGGAGAAUGACUACCCAAAUUUCACAUAUCAACUUCGACAAUUGCAAUUUCAAGUCAAAAAGUGUCAUCCAAAAACCCUUAUUGGAUCAC